UAUGUAUAAAUCCAAAAAGGUGGCAGCACUCACGGAAUUAAAAGUUCUAAUCUUUAUUUGUUCAUGUUAACAUGAACAAAUAAAGAUUAGAACUUUUAAUUCCGUGAGUGCUGCCACCUUUUUGGAUUUCUGGAU